UCCCCAGCAGCAGACGCUGCACCCCUGCAGAGGCAUUCUGGGAGCAAAAGGGCAGGAGGAGUAAAGUUGGGUCCUGCUCACCUUCACGGCCCCCUCACCCUCCAGGUUCUACCCAGUCCCCCGUCUCUCCAGGAUGGUUGUCACCUCUUUGAUGCUUUUCAUCCAGUUCUGAAUGUUCUCGAAGGAUUUCUCAUCUGUGAUGUCAUACACUAGGAUAAUGCCCUGAGAGAUGGCAAGAAUCCACCAUGGAGCCUUGGUCCACAUUCCCCCGUGUCUGCUUCCUGCCCCUCCAAGUGACCCUGCAAGCCCUACCCGCAAAUCUAAUCACUAGUCCAGGUGGGGCCCUCCACAUCCCACACUAUAACCCUGACACCGUCCCUGCCCGACCCUGCGGCCCGUGGUUCUCAGAACCCUGCAGUCUACCGCCUCAUCCCUUGUCCAGACCCACACCCCGUACCAUGGCCCCGCGGUAGUAGGCGGUGGUGAUCGUCUUGAAUCGCUCCUGGCCAGCCGUGUCCCUAAGAGGCGGAACGUUUGUGGGGCGGCACAGAGGGAACAGCUCUCCGAAGAGAGAAUCCCCCCUGCUAAGAAUUUAGCUUCUGCAACAGAGUGGGGGCUGAAAGGAACAGAAUCAGAAAACAGUAAAGGAGGAAAAGAAGCAGAGCCAGAACUUGAACCACAACCUGCUCUUAUCUGUUGCAUCUUAACACCUCUUUCAGGCCACCAGCCACUUGCACACCUUCGGAGUCCCGGGCUUCCUGUGACAGCCCAGCCCUCUAUCUUCAGCUUUCUGGGCUUGAGAACCACCGUCUACGCUCCAGCCAUAUAGGAUGAAGAGCCAGGAAAAAGGUAGCUGAUGCCAGUCUGUGUGAGUUAACUAGUAGGCUGGGCUUGCAAGCAAGAAAUCUGAGGAUAAGUAAGAUUUCUCCUGAGACUGAACUAGGAUAGAGAGGCAUUUUCCUUCCCUUUUCUAACCAGAAUUGUCUUGAGAUUCCCCUCGUUUUAUUUCCCAGGCCAGAGAAGAUGAAGAAAGACAAGAGGGGAGGAGGGGAGGCAGUGUUCUUGGUGGAAACUUGGGCACCUCCCCAGAGCCGGUUGGGAGCCUAGGGAGGAGCCUGAGUCACCAGGCUGACUCAGAGCCCCCAAAAGUCCCCCCACUCCCACCGUCCUUGCCUGGCUGACUGCAUAUUCACGGUUCCAGUCCUUGGGCCAUCCUCCAGCACACCCGGCCACUUUGUUCCAGCCCCCACCCCAAACCCCCAGUUAAGUUGAGGGGCAGGGAGACUGGGAAGUAAUUUGGUACAGUGGGGAUGCAAUGGGGGAGUCUGAAACUCAGCGAGGCAGAAAGAGGCUGUCGGAACUGGAAGCCGCCUUCAGGGAGAGGGGUUACAGGAAAUACAGGGAGGUGGGUGGGGGUGGGGGAGAGGAGUGGAGCAGGAAAUCCAGAAGGGUUCAUGUGCAUUUGGGGAGGUGAGGGAGAAGGGUGGUCCCAGGAACCCCAGGAGCUGGCACAACUGAGAAGUUACCUGGAGGCCUCAGACAGUUUAGAGGUUGGGUACCAUCCAGAGAUACGCUCCACGGAUGGGUCUGAGUCAGGGGUUGGGAGGCUAGAGUUCAGAAGCCUCACUCUAAGAGGGGUGGGGGGUGGUAAAGAGUGGGGCCACGAGUAAUCUGGGAGCCUGAGGAUGAGGUCAUGCGGGGAUUAGGGGCUCUGGGAUAUGGCCAGUGGGCUCACCGAU